CCGGACGUGGUCUAGUGGUUAUGACGUCUGCCUUGCACGCAGAAGGUCCGGAGUUCGAUCCUCGGUGUCCGUG